GGUAGCGUGGCCGAGCGGUCCAAGUCGCUGGUUUAAGGCACCAGUCUCUUCGGGGGCAUGGGUUCGAAUCCCAUCGCUGCCA
rnacentral:tRNA from 1 species